UGGCUAUAGCUAAAUAAAUCGAUCGAUCGAUAGAUCUCAGAAGUUUACUGGUCAAUUGUUGUAAGAUUUUCAUCUCUGUCGAUAGAUCUGCUUACCGAAUUUUUUUAAUUC